rnacentral:rRNA from 1 species
GGGCGUUAAGUUGCAGGGUAUAGACCCGAAACCCGGUGAUCUAGCCAUGGGCAGGUUGAAGGUUGGGUAACACUAACUGGAGGACCGAACCGACUAAUGUUGAAAAAUUAGCGGAUGACCUGUGGCUGGGGGUGAAAGGCCAAUCAAACCGGGAGAUAGCUGGUUCUCCCCGAAAGCUAUUUAGGUAGCGCCUCGUGAAUUCAUCUCCGGGGGUAGAGCACUGUUUCGGCUAGGGGGCCAUCCCGGCUUACCAACCCGAUGCAAACUGCGAAUACCGGAGAAUGUUAUCACGGGAGACACACGGCGGGUGCUAACGUCCGUCGUGAAGAGGGAAACAACCCAGACCGCCAGCUAAGGUCCCAAAGUCAUGGUUAAGUGGGAAACGAUGUGGGAAGGCCCAGACAGCCAGGAUGUUGGCUUAGAAGCAGCCAUCAUUUAAAGAAAGCGUAAUAGCUCACUGGUCGAGUCGGCCUGCGCGGAAGAUGUAACGGGGCUAAACCAUGCACCGAAGCUGCGGCAGCGAACGUAUCACUUAAAGCGAUUCAGCGGGUUACGAUUGACGGAGCGAAGCGACGUCAAAGCGUAUACAAAGUCGAGUCGGUUUAAGGAUACGUUCGUUGGGUAGGGGAGCGUUCUGUAAGCCUGCGAAGGUGGCCUGUGAGGGUUGCUGGAGGUAUCAGAAGUGCGAAUGCUGACAUAAGUAACGAUAAAGCGGGUGAAAAGCCCGCUCGCCGGAAGACCAAGGGUUCCUGUCCAACGUUAAUCGGGGCAGGGUGAGUCGACCCCUAAGGCGAGGCCGAAAGGCGUAGUCGAUGGGAAACGGGUUAAUAUUCCCGUACUUGGUGUUACUGCGAAGGGGGGACGGAGAAGGCUAUGUUGGCCGGGCGACGGUUGUCCCGGUUUAAGCGUGUAGGUGUGUGUUCCAGGUAAAUCCGGUUCACUUUAACACUGAGGCGUGAUGA